UGAAAUUUGGUUCUUCAAACGCCAUGGUUGACUUUACCGGAAUAUUCAAACUUACUGAAAGGGGUGGCAAAGAAAAUGCACUGAAUUGACCUUGAAAUCUACAUAUUGGGAAAACAAAUAUGCUAACGCCUUGCGCACGGAAUCCAUGAGCACGGGCAAGACUCAUGAACAGAGUACACACUGUCCAUGAGCCUUGCCUUGCGCCUAGCUUUGUUCAUUGGGAAAAAGGAAAGCCAACAAGUGGGUUCGAUUCCAACAAGCCAAAAGAAGCAAAUGGGACGAGAGAAAGUCGGCAACGCCUUUUCGUGGUGGGCACCGAAACCCACAGUGCUCAAAGAAAUCUAGAAUAUGAUUGUGAGGACCAUGGUAUACAAUCUUUCCUUCUGCCAUCAAGAUAAUGUCAUCAAAGAGAUCAAAAGUCUCAGGUGCUGGCUGAAGAAGUGAUACUAAAAUCGUUGAUUCUGUUAUGUGUGAUAACUGCUGAAGAAAGGUGACAAUCUGAAAGGAAGUGGAGCUGUCUAAGCCAGUUGAUAUCUCAUCCAUAAAGAGAGCUUUUGUUGGGCCAAUUAUCAUUUCUCCUGGGAGGUAGCAACGGGGAAAAUUUUUAUGACAAAUAUUUAUAUACCCCGACUAUUAUUAAUCUCAUAUCUAAGAUGUACUUAGAUGAAUGAAUUAUUAGCAGGGUGCCACAUUUUAUCUAAACAACCUGUUGUCAGCCUUCUCUUUUGGCCACCAGAAAUUCCUCUAUUCAUUGCGUCUCCUACAAUUGUUUCAGCACAAAUGUCCAGCCCAAGGAUCUGAAUCAGCAGUAAUUGUAGCACAUGUACUGUCAAUUAGAGUUAGGAAUGAUGAUAGAAGCUCGAUCGUCGACUCUUUCUGCUGAUAGUGAGAAUUACCUUUAAGAUAUAGUCCGUUUGCAGAGUUCUUUUUAAGCCUUCAACUGAAAUGGCCUGCAAGUCAAGUUUUCAUUGGAGAUAGCCAACAGGAGCAUGGACCAAACUACCAGUAUUACAGAAACACGACUGAGAAUGAACUCUUUCAUGCAUAUUGUUUACCUUCAUGUAAGUAUCUAUAUCUGGUUCUGGGAUAAUUCCAGCUUGCUUCUCCCUUUUAUUGACUUCUCUCAUAAUAUCUUCAAUGGGAAAAGGAUUCUCACUUCAAUAUAAUUCUUGAAGAGCAUAUUAAUAUAAGAUGUAAAACAAGGCUUGCCUGCUCUACUCCCAACUCCCAGACAACGUGCUGAGAAGUCGAGUGUUUCUCUCACUGUCAUUUCAGAAAUGUGCAGAUCAUAUUGACUUAUAUAAGCUGAUGUCUUCUGAGGAACAAACUCGUUCAAUUUGUGACCAUUAUAGGAGAUUUCCCCAGUGACCUAAAUUUAAUGUUUUUCAAAUACAUUGAUCAAUUCUUUGUAGAUUAAGUAACAGAUAUAUAUAUAUAAUUAAUUAUAUUGGAGC